rnacentral:lncRNA from 1 species
CCAAAGUAAUUGAAAAAUUUAAACAAACAAAAUCAAAACAAAAAAAGAAGCUACAGAACAAUUUGUAAACUAAGCUCCUUUCUUCCUCGGAGCUCCAAGCGACGGUCCAACGCCGCAGCAUUGAUGCCGGAAAAUCGAGGUACAUAGUUGAAGCCAACCUCAAUCACACCAAACUUGAAACUCCUAUGAAAUUGUCAGCUAUAUAACUCCCAUCAUCAUAGAUCUGCCAUGGAAAUAACACAAAAAGCUUGGAUAAAUUUCAUCCAAGACAACUAGCUCAUCUCUAAUUUCUUUUCUUCUUCUUAGCAACUUAGUAGAAUAUUCAUGUCAGCCAUCAAAUUUCACCAUCACGAUCUGAAAAUCACCACCACAAAUCAUAGAUAGAAAUCUCUUUCCCACUCUCCAUAAUCAAAAACUAUUAAGUAAAUUACUUUACACUCAUUUUCAAAAUCAACUAAUAGUCAUUAAAACUCCAUUGAAAUACCAUUUUGAAGCUAUUGUAACAAACUUUUUCAGUUAACAAAAUCCAUUCAAACAACUUAAUAAUGAUGGAAAUCUCUAAAAAAAAAAAUCUCAAAAAUUCCUCAUCGGAAAAGAUUCUGACGGACAAUUUAUUUUUUAGGU